GGGUGUAGUACAACGGCUAGUACGCCAGCCUUCCAAGCUGGAUACGUGGGUUCGAUUCCCAUCACCC
rnacentral:tRNA from 1 species